AAAGGGAACAAGAAGCAAGGCGCCUGUGACACAAAAUGGAGAAAGAGGAACCGGGAGUGGAAAGGAAGAAGGAAAACCGAGUAAAGGAGGUUAUUCAUAAGAACAGGAAAGGGGCCGAGGGGUAGAGAACACCCGAAGGAAAGCGCAGGAGGCCCUCGUGAGAGGGCAAGGGGGAAAAGAUCGACGAAGUAAGAGCGAAAAGAGGAAAGGAAAGAAAGACUUUCUAGAUGCGGAGUCUCCAUUUUCAGCAGCGCCAUAUUCGCUUUUCCUCUCGCCGCUUUUGGCUGGGUUUUGUGUGCGGCGGUGGACAGGCGCCAGCACAUUUCUGCAGCUUCAGCAGCUCUGCUCAGACACCUGGGGAGGGCCGCAGGGCCCGGGCGGGGGACGCGCGCUCUUGGCCCAGGCCCGGGCGCGGCCCCCUCCCCGGCCUGGCGGUUCCUGCGCAGCGCCAGCCCCGCGCUCCUCUAGGCUGCAAAGGGGGCCUCCGACUCGGGCCCGGCCCGGAGGGGACACCUCACUCGGGGCCCCGCGGCAGCCCCCAGGGGACGCGGGCCCUCUAGUUUCGCCCACGGUGUGGCUGGGCAUGCGUGCCAAGGGGAUGCGUAACCGAGAACCGAAAAAGACGAACUUAACCUUCGGGGAGGAGGAGAGGGCGCACGCUGCGGGUACCGGGGCUUGGGGGCGCUCCUGGAGGUGACGGGGUCACCUCCACCUGCGCGGGGCCACUCUCUGGGAGCCGGCGAUCGAUGCCCGCCGCGGCGCCUGGCCCAGGCCCCCAGGCCUCUCGCGGCUCCCGGAAAAACGUCCGAGGUCGGGGCUCGGCCGGGAGCCCCAAGCGGGUCCCCUGGCCUCGGGACGCCAGUCCGGGAGGCGGCCGGAACUCCGGUUUUCGCGGUUCUCAGCGAUAUUAGGCGCGGCCAGUGUCUGAAAGCUCCUCGGGGUUACGUCCUGGGGCGACUGGAGGCGGCUCACGACUCAGAAAGUCGGGGCUUCUCGCCCCGGAUCCCCACCGCUGGCGUCUGUCGAAUCCCCACCUCGGUCCUCGGGUAGAGGCGCAAGCGCGCCCCAAGACCAUUCUCUUCGCGCCCACCCCCGUUAUUCUUCACUUUCACUUGACAUCGUUCUUCACUCAAGGUUAGGUCCUCGCUAGUGCCAGAGAAGCCCCUGGGUCCCCAGUGCCCUCAGCCCCGCAGCGUAGGGAGCAGCCGGCCCGGGAGAUAAGGAGGCCACAGCCAUGGAGGCCCCAGGCCCGGAGUCCCCGCGCCGUCGGGUUUUGAGCCGCGCGGCUGGCCAGGACCGCCGGCUCCUUCUCUGUCCCGGUCCUCCGCUCGCAGCCCCGCAGAGGUGACGGUACCUGGAGGCUGGAAGCGACGGUUUCCUCGGGCCGGUGGAGGGAAACAUGUCAGGGUCACAGCGAAGGAAACCGAGACCCACAGGGGUCCCCGGGCGUCCGGGACGCGUCGCUGGUUUUGCUCCUAGAAGGAAAGGCCUUCCCGCUUUUGUUCCACCGGCUCACCAGGUCCUCCCUUCCUGGCCAACUCUAACCUCAGCUUUGUGCGUGUCACCCGGCCCCGGGAUAAUCGGAUCCUCCCAGACCCGGGAAUCCAUCAGAAGCGCUACCCGUACUUGGCGCCCUGAAAGUUCCCCAAGCGCAGCGGCCGCGCCCUCGAGUGCAUCCACUCCGCGAGCCACGGGCGGCGCCUGCCCACCCGCGGCUCGGCUUUGCGUGUUGUAAGCCGACUAUUCUAUCACCAUUGCAGGAUAAGCUGGCCUUUAAAUUUUCAAAGAACAUUUAGGUUAUUUUCAACAGUUCAUGCUUUUCAUAUCUGUCUUUUCAGACUGCAGAUUUCCACAAGGAAAAAUGUAUCUUUCCUAGACGGCAAAAAGCAGAUUUAUUUUCCUUUUUAAAAAGUUGCCUUAAAACGCCUAUCUCAUAGUACUUGGGGAUUAAACUGUUUCCCCUAAGAGAAAGUUCAACGGCUAAGCUCAAACGUUAGUCUUGACACCUUUAGUUAAGAUGAUCCUUUCCCAGUGUUGUUAGUGAAAUGUUAAAAUCAAAAUUUCAAAAUGAAGUAGAUGUUUUAUGUCUUUAGAACAUUCCAGAAAUUUAAGAACUAAAAAUAUUGACAAGGUGCAAGGCCUAGUUCACAAAUAACAUUCCAGCUUCUGUUUCUGUGAGAGUUCUUUUUUAAGGCUAUGAAAGAUUUUUGAAGUUAAAGUAUUCAUAGCUGGAACAGACAUUUAUCAUUUGACAACAUAUGAAAUUUUAAAUUGUGCAUUGUAAGUCUCAUGUUUAUGUUAUGUUUCUUGGAUAUAUUCCAUGGCAUUUUGUGCUUCUCUCUUUUAUGGGAAAGCUUACAAUUAACUUACCAGGUUUUUCUUUUAAUUUAAUCAGGAUUAGAUUAAAAAAAAAACCCUAAAGCUACUUAGUAAAAGAUAUUUUAUGGCAGCCAAAUACAAAAAUGAAUAAAGCUUAAAGUAAGUUAUUUUCUCAUCUCUCAAGGAUGGUUUCCUUCUGAAAUAAAAAUUGGAAGUUGUACUUUGGUAGGUGUUCUUAUCCACUCAAAUCUAGCCACCGAAUGCAAGUGAUUAGGUAUUAAGGCCUACUUAAAAAAAAAAACUCAUUGUGAAGCAUUUAUUAAACCCUAGAAAGAACAUUUUUCUUUCAUGAGGCCAUGUACUGAUCAACUUUCAAUGCAGAGCAAAGAUCAAUGGGUGCCACUUCUAGCAUUUCAGGUGUUAAAUAUUGCUAGGUAAUAUGGAAUUCAAAAGGAAAAUCAUCUCUAUUUGAUAGAUUUGUAAUGUAAAAGAAGGCAUACAAUCAGAGUCUUGGAAUUCAGAUGCAGAAUGUUAAAUACAGCUCUUAUGUUUUAUUCAAAAUCCAUUUAGAAAGGAAAUAUAAAUGACCUUCAUAGCAAGUUUUUGGAAAGAUAAUACUUAGGAAUAGCAAAAAGCUAGUUCACAAAUGUCCAGUGUUUGAUAGUCAAUAUAUAACACACACAAUCUUUACAGAACUAUAUACUUAUUUUUAAUAAUGCCUGUUGGUAUAUUUUAAAUGGUCCUUAUUUGUAUUAUAAAUACCUCAAAUUUCAAUUAUCUGCAAUUUUUACAUUUUUGAAGUACAUUUUCUUAAAUCCCAGAUUUUGUUAUAUGUCAGCACAUGGAAUACAUACAGGUAUUUCAUUCUAACAGAAUGAAAAUGUAAAUAUCUAAAAUAAGGUAUGUAUCAUACUAUCAUAGGAAUCAGCAAAGAAAAUCAUUUCACUAUAAUUCUAUUGGCAUUUUAAGAACAUUCAAUGGAAAACAUAAAUUUCCAAUUUAUUAAGACCUUAUUUUUGUACCUAAUUAUUAAAGAGUAAUACCAUCUAUGUUCUCUAACAGCCCCUUCCUAAUCCAUUGCUUUAUUAAAUACUCUUCUGAUUAUGUCUACUUGAUACCAAGCAUUAUCAAACACUUAAAUAAUGAAAUGAAAUAUUUUCAUUUCCCUUUUUGUUUAUGCUGUUUCUUAAUUGUUUUAUGAGAAAUUGAUAUAGUUCAAAGAUAACAAAUGUAAAUCUAAAAUUAAGAUGAACACUUGCAUUAAUUUAUUAAAUACAUAAAAUUCAUAGAGGUCCAAGGCAAUUAGUGUGUUGAAAACAAAUAUUAAUAUAUACAGGAAGUUCAAGGGUUACAACUCUUUAUGUUACCUGGAAAUGUAGGAGUAGCAUUCUCUUUUUAAAUUUUUGACAUUAUCUCUUGCUUUAGGAGAGUUGUAUAUGAUACCAAACAUUCUGAGAGUAUGUGUGACAGUGCUGGUGGUGUAGAGGUGAUGGAGUGGAGGUGGUAUUAAAAUCAUUGUAUAGCUUUUUCAUCUACAUCCUUGUUUGAAAACAUUUUUGUUUGUUUGCAGCUAAAUAUCCGGCAAUAUGUUCAAUGCCUCAGGCAAUUCCUUAGGUAAUUGUAAAGACCUAAAAGUAAACAAGCAAAAGAACAUUGAUCAGCCAAAAUGUUAUAGUUUUCAUGUCACAAAAAAGAACUGUAUAUAAGCCAUUGAUUUUAAGUGGAAUUAAUGAAAAUUCUACAAAGUACUACAGAAAAAUUACAUAGUCAUAUUGCUGAAUAAGAAUGUAUUGCCACAAUAAAUGCAAUAUUUUUUAGAAGUCAGUAAUCUUUUACAGUAGUUUCCACACUUUGUAUCUAGUUUUUAAUUCAUCAAUUUAUGAUAGUACAAGUGCUCCAAAUUGAAUUGUUUUUAAACAUAUGGAAUACCCAGAUGAUUUUGUACAUGAGGAAUAAGAAGAAACUAUUGGAAUUCUUGAUUACUAAUAAUGGUCUCAACACGAUAGCAGAAUUUCAUAAAUCAAUUAUAUGCUCCAUUUGAAGGUGAUAAAGCAUAAUUAACUUACUUGACACCAACACAACCAAUGUUUUGUUUCUUCACAGAACAGGCUAUGAGCUAUUUUCAAUUAUUGCACUGAAAUGCUGUCCUCUAAAAUUAACAAAUGAAUGAAGCAUUUGCAAACUGGACAUUGCACUGAGAACAACGUAGAGUGAAACUAUCCAGUUGUUUUUCUAAUUAUAUUUUAUCUACUUAGAUAAUAGGAACUAGCAAUUACUAAUGUUUUUUUUUUAACUAAGCAAUUUGGUGGGAAAAAACAUCACCUAAAGUAAUGUAUUAUUCUUAUGAACAAUGUGAAACAAAAUUAAUCAUUUGGAAUGGCAUCUAGAUAGUAGGACUUUAAUUCUUAAUUUAGAGUAUUGAGCAUAAAAUACUAUGGUUUUAUUGAAUCUUUUACCAUGCCAUUUCUUACAGUAAAAAAGGAAAAAUAGAAAUGGAAUAUCUAGAUAAUUAAAAUAAACAUUUUCUGGUUAUGUGAAACAAAGGAGAGUUUUAAGGGGUAGAAGAGGAAGGUGCAGAAUUCUUAUCUGCCUUCCUAGCAGACAGAGUAGGCAAGUGGCUACUUGAUCCAAUUUCAAGGACAACUGCAAACAGUGCAUCCUCCCCAAAUAUUUCCAUCACCCAUUUACUGAUGCAUUCACCAUUUUUGUAGUUUAAAAAUUUGAACCUCAAUAAAAUCCAAAUGCUACUGAGAAAACUCACAUUCUAAGCUGUUGUCAAUUAUUUAUACCUUUGAAUGAGUAUCAGAGCAAACGUUGCUGGAAGAAAAAGUUUCGGGACCUUGAAUAAUUAAUGUGAAUGGGACAGGAGAACUUGAGGAAGGAUGUGCAGAGAAACGGCUGAAUUGCUGAGCAACAGAGAGAAACGUUUUUGUGUAGUUUUACCUGGUCUAAAUUAACUAACUAGAUAAUGCCCUAUUUUAACAUAAACAUUUAAUGAUGCAUAACACACUUCAUUUCAUACUGUUCCCUAUAGCUGGGCAAUGAUUACUCCAAGGUGUAAUGGAAAACAUGAAUUAAUUAGAGAUUUCGGGUACGAACGUGACAUGAAUGUAAAAUAUACAGAUCAUUAAAAUCAUGUCUAUAAAAUAGAAAUUAAAAUAUGAGUUUUGUAAUGUAUUUGACAACCAGAUAAUUUGUCUAUCCACAUAAAUCAAACUAACCAGAUUAUUGCCAUAUUUCAGCUUUACUAUGAACUGUGUUAAUAAAUAUCAUGACUAAAUACUAUCUCUUAAAGCAUUUUGUAAUAGAUGUAAGGGUUUUUUCCCCUUUUGUUUAUAGUAAUAAUAAAUUUGCACAUUGUGUGGAAAUCAAGAUCAACUGUUAAAAUAGCCAAGCAAUCAUGUAAUCGUUCAGUUACUUCAAACGUAAAGUAGGCUCAGAUUUAUUUUUUCCUAACAAACUGGUUCUAGUCCACUCAAGAUUCUAUCCAAAAAGCAGUAUUUAGCACUUUUCAGGCUAAUUCCAAACAAACGAAGAUUAACAGAUCAUCAGUUUAGCUUCACACAUGAAAUUGAAAAAUGAAUUGCUGGUCAAAAUGCUAAAAACACAAAUGUGAAAUUUAUAUGUGUUCCUUGUUCCUAAAUAUUGAAAAAAUAUCAACUAAUCAUCAAGUUUGCCAAAGCAAAAAAAAAUUGAAAUAUAAUUCCUAGUUAAUUGGUUUACCAUUCAUUAUUACUUCUCUUUGAAUUCAGUAACUUAUCAAUGAUUAAAGAUGUGCUUCAACAAGUUAAUUCUUUAAGUUCAAAUAACUGGAAACCAUUUUCUCAAUGGUGCAGCAUUUCUUAAUGUCAGUUCAAGAUGUUUGGAGACAUAUUGCUGAUUUUAGAAGCUGAUGUGUGCUGAUUUAUGAAGGAAUUGUUUAGCUUGUACUCUGGGCUCUGAUCAAGGGAGAUACACUCUCAGAUACAGCCUGGCAUUUAAGGGUACCUCUUUCCUAGCUGAUUAUCUGCUUCCUGAGUUCAGUUGUAAUAGCUUGCGAGCUUCUCCCAUCCCAUAUGACUGGAUUCUGAUUUCUUAUUUUCUGAUAGCAGGGUAAACUUUGUUCUCCCUUAUUACUAAACGUUGACUUGACAAAUAAAUAGACCUCCUGCAUUUUAA
rnacentral:lncRNA from 1 species